rnacentral:tRNA from 1 species
GCUGGUGUACUCAAGCGGCCAACGAGGACGGUCUGUAAAACCGUUGACGUAAGUCUACGUAGGUUCGAAUCCUACCGCCAGCA